CAUUCUUGGUGGCCUUCCAUCAAAACAAGCAGCUGAUUGGAGACAGGGGACUGCUGCCCUGCAGAGUGUACCUGAGAAGUGUGCAGCAGCACUUCCGUGGGCGAGUCAGCUGGGACACCGUGAGCUAUGCCCCCACCGUCCUCUGGCUGCUGGACUGGUCUCACAUGGACUCCAACCUGGACACCCUGGCUCUUCUUGGGCUGGGCAUCUCCUCUUUCAUCCUGGUGUCCGGCUGCGCCAAUAUGGUCCUCAUGGCUGCUCUCUGGGUCCUCUACAUGUCCCUGGUCAACGUGGGGCAGAUCUGGAUGGGAGUCCCAGCUUCUAGAGACCGGCUUCCUGGGGAUUUUCCUGUGCCCUUUCUGGACUCUGUCUCCGUUGCCCAGGAGGACCCCUACAUCCCGGAUCGUCCUGUGGGGCUUUCGGUGGCUGAUUUUCAGAAUUAUGCUCGGAGCUGGCCUGAUCAAGAUCCGGGGGGACCGGUGCUGGCGGGACCUCACUUGCAUGGACUUCCACUAUGAGACACAGCCAGUGCCCAACCCCGUGGCCUACUUCCUGCACCACUCCCCGUGGUGGUUCCACCGCUUCGAGACCCUCAGCAACCACUUCCUGGAGCUGGUGGUGCCCUUCUUCGUCUUCCUCGGACGACGGAUGUGCGUCCUUCACGGGGCGCUACAGAUCCUGUUCCAGGUGGUCCUCAUCAUCAGCGGGAACCUGAGCUUCCUGAACUGGCUGACCAUCGUGCCCAGCAUCGCCUGCUUCGACGACGCCACUCUGGGCUUCCUGUUUCCCUUGGGGCCUGGCCGCCUCAAGGACCAAGUCCUGAAGAUGCAGGAGGAGGAAGCUCGAGGGGCUAGGGCCCCGUGGACACGUGGCAGCGUGGCGCGGCGCACCGUCAACCUGGCACUGGGCGUCCUGGUCGCCUGGCUCAGCGUCCCCGUGGUCCUCAACUUGCUGAGCCCCCGGCAGGUCAUGAAUAGCUCCUUCAACCCUCUCCGGAUUGUCAACACAUACGGGGCCUUCGGCAGCAUCACCAAGGAGCGCACAGAGAUCAUCCUGCAGGGUACAGCCAGCCCCAAUGCCAGCGCACCGGAUGCCAAGUGGGAGGACUACGAGUUCAAGUGCAAGCCUGGCGACCUAAGGCGGCAGCCGUGCCUCAUCUCCCCAUACCACCACCGCCUAGACUGGCUCAUGUGGUUCGCCGCCUUCCAGACCUACGAGCACAAUGAGUGGAUCAUCCACCUGGCGGGCAAGCUCCUGGCCAACGAUGUCCAGGUCCUGUCGCUGCUGGCUCUCAACCCCUUCGCGGGCAGGGCACCCCCCAGGUCCCUACCGCGUCCAGGAGGGACCUGUGCAAGGGAGAAGCCGGGGCUCCCUCCUCAGAACCUGCACGCGCCCACACACGCUCUUCUCCACAGUGACCAGCACCCAGAGGUGUGGACAGAGGACCUCUGUCCUCCUUGGGUGGGCCGCCCCCACCGGCCCUGCGCAAGGUGCCUCCGCCCCUCCUUUGUGACCAUGUCGCCCAGUCUCGCUUGGAGCCUCCUGCUCCCUGACCUGGGGUCGGGGUGGGGAAUGGGACCGCAGAGGGGUCAGGCCUGGCCUGGGUGCUGGCGUCCGCAGGGCAGCGAUUCUGAGGCCAGCUCACUGCAGGUUGAACUGGGUUAAUGGUGUGUUGCUUGGCGACCCUCCUGGACUGCAGCCCAGAACCUCUACAGCCUGAUGUCAGAUGGCCUCCUCUUCUGCCUCUGCCGGACCCCAGGCUGCUCCUGGUCACACCUGGGCUGAUGGGGGACUUGGCCUGGCCCCUCCGUGCUGGAGACACUGUGGACCUGAUGAAAGAGAAGGGCUCAGACACUCACAUCUGCUCCACCUGAUGCUGCCUCUGUGCAGUUUCAGUACCGUCGGCUGUUCUGGUGGGAUGGGGGUUGGGGGGUGUUGGUCUAGGACACGAGGUGGGGCCUUGGCUCGCCCCUCUGUCAGGCUCAGGCUGCUCUGCCAGGGUUCUGUGUUCACCUUUUAAAACCAGGAGUCAGUCUGAGGCUCCUGGGGAGGGGGCAGCAGGAAUCUCCUCAGGCCACAGGAGGGUGGCCCACUCUCAGGAGCAGCUGUCCUGGAGAGGGGUGAGUAGGACGUGGCCAGGGCACCCUGACCUCCCAAGGGACUGGAAAUUUAAAAUCUGUUCUUCCUACCCACUCUCUCGAGCCAACACCCCUUGAAAAUCACUGUCUGACGAGUCAGCCGUCACUGAGACCCCCAGCCCAUCUGGGGGCAUCUCCCCUGCAGAGCACUCUGCCCCUGUGGCUGUCACACAUCUGAAUGGGGCCUGCCUGGUGAUGGCAGUGACGCCCAGGCCCAGCCAGAUCCCCACGGGCUGCAGAGGGUACCCCAGUCCCCCACCCCCUCAACUCUCCCAACUGGAGGGACCAGCACUCGGCCCUCUUGCUCCAGGACUGGACAUAGGACUCAGGACUCCAGUCACCGGGCAGUGGCUGAGCUCGGGCAACCCACUGAGCCUGGCUGUUGGCCCAUCCAGAGCUGCAGGCUCAUCCAGGAGCCUGUCUCAUGGAGGACCCACUACCUCCCUCUUGCUUCAGGACAGGACGAGGGGCUCAGGCACAGGUACUGUCCCCGUGAGGACGGUGAGUACCAGCCUCUCUCCAGCAAAGGGGCUCUGGGGCAUCUUCCACUUCGCCUAGAAAUUUUCACUCAGAGGUGAUCAGUGCAUCUUGCGUGCCUGCUGAGGCCAGGCCCACCCUCCUCUUAGCCUAGUCAGAUCAGAACCCUCCCUGGGCUUCUGCAUCCACACAGGGAUGGCCUGGUGCUGUGCGCUCUUUAGGCCGCUGGCUCUGGGGGGACAGGGUCAGCAAACUCCUGGCCUGGUGGCUUUGCAAGAGCAGGAAGAUCUCCACAUCAGUGUAUGCUGAGUUUAAGCAUGUUACCAGUUGUUAGAAUGGGCCAUGAAGACACAGAAAACCUGAGCAGUCGUGGAGAGCUUCGCUGCCUCUCUCCACGGUCCACAGCAUUCCCCCACAACUUCUGGGUCCCCACUGUGGGGUAAGGCUCUUCUCCCUCCUGAUGUUCAUCCGGGGCUUUUCUCUCGUGUCCUCUUCAGUCUUCUCAGCUCCAGCUUUGUCUUCUUCCAUCAACUGUCCUCUUCCACUUUCUGUUUCACAUACAUACGUUCUAUUAUUUCCUUCCACCUUUUCAGGUUUGCCUUCUGUCUCCUUGGGUUGCAGACUUUAUCUCUUUCUAUUCCUCCUCCUGAUUUCUAGGAACACCAGCUAAGGACCCCACACACACAAGUGGCUGUACCUGCAGGCUCUAUUGACCAUUGUGGGCUUCGUGAAUUCUAGAAAUUGUGAUGUCCUCUUAAUCGAAUAACAGAGGUGGGGAUUUAAAUGUUCAGAUGAAUGGAUUUGGGAGGCAGGCUUUUACCUUGAAUUUUAUCACCAUGUUUACCACUCCCAGCACCCCUCACUCACCCCCCAUGCCUCCAGCACCCUGAAUCAACACCCCUUUCAGAAGUGAACUGAUUCUGGUGGAAAGGAUACCUCCAAUUCUGAGACAGUUGCAUCCCUCUGCUAAGGGGUUCCCUUGCUCAGUUAGCAUCAUGAUAGCCUUUUCCCCAGGGUCCAUCCCCAGCCUGUAUCCCGCAGCUUGAGGAUACCAUGGACGUUUGUCUUCAGGGAUUCAGUUCCAAGCCACUGAGUAAGGUGGAAUUCACAUGCCAGCAAACCCACCUUUAAAACUCCUAAAGUAAUCAGCAAAAUAGAACUGUAGUCUGACUGACAAAAAGAUACAAGUAACUGAAAUCAAAGAAGUCAAGUGGGGACACAACUACCAACAUAUAGACAUAAAAAGGAUUACAAGAGAACAGUAUGAAUAAUUGUAGCCAACAAAUAAGGUAACCUAGACAAUGGACAAAUUCUUAAAGACAUAAAAAAUGUUUAAAGUGACUCAGGAAGAAAUAAGAAAUUUGAAGAAAUCUAUAUAGCAAGUAAGGAGAUUGAAUCAAUAAUCAAAACCUCUCAGCAGAGAAAAGCACUGCAUCAGAUGGCUUUGUUACUGAACUCUCCCAAGAAUUAAAGAAAAAUUAACACCAGUCCUUCCCAAACUCUUCCAAAAAAUUAGAAGAGGGGGGAACACUUCCUAACUCAUCCUGUGAGGCCAGUAUUACCCUGGUAACAAAGCCUGACAAAGACAACAGUAUCCUUUAUGAACAAAGAUACAAAAAUCCUCAACAAAAUACUAGCAAAACAAAUAUAUCAGCACAUUAAGAGGAUUAUAUGCCAUGAUCAAGUGGUAUUUAUCCCAGGAAUGCCAGUGGUUCAACAUAAGAAAAUCAAUCAGUGCAAUACACCACACUGACAGGAAAAAAAAAAAAAAUGAUCAUCUCAGUUGAUGCAGAAAAAUCAUUUGAAAAAGAUCCAACUCUCUCAUGAUAAAAACCACUCAAAACUAGGAAUAGAAGGGAACUUCCUCAACAUAAUAAAAGACAUUUAUGAAAAACCCACAGUUAAUAUCAUACUCAGUGAUGAAAGACUGAAAACUUUCCCUCUAUGAUCAAGACAAGGAUGCCCAUUUUCACCACUGCUAUUCAACAUUGUACUUGAGGUCUAGCAAGAGCAAUUAGUCAAGAAAAAUAAUUAAAAGGCUUUGAAACUGGAAGAAGCAAAACUAUAUUCACAGAUGAUGAAAUCCUAUAUAUAGAAAAUUCCAGUGAUCCACGAAAAUGCUACUGGAGCUAAUAAACUAAUUUAGCAAAGUUGCAGGGUACAAGGUCAACACACAAAAAUCAGAUAUUUAUAAACCUGCAAUGAACAAUCUGAGAAAGAAACUAAGGGAAAAAAUGCUGCUUAUAAUAGCAUCCAAAAGAAUAAAAUACCUAAAAAUAAAUUUAACCAAGGAGGUGAGAGACUUGUACGCUAAGAAGUACAAAGCACUGCUGAAAGAAGUCAAAACCCAAGUGAGAGGUGUCCAUUUCUGUGGAUUUGAUGACUUAAUAUUGUUAAGAUGACAAUACUAACAGUAUCUACAGAGUAGAUGAAAUAUCUAUCAAAAUUCCAAUGGCCUUUUUUGUAGAAAUAUAAAGGCCAAUCCUCACAUCCAUAUAGAAUUGUAACGGGCCCCAAAUAAUGAAAACAAUCUUGAAAAAGAAGAAAGUUGACAGAUUCACACUUCCUGAUAUUAAAACUUAGUACAGGGACUUCCCUGGUGGUCCAGUGGUAAAGAAUCUGCCUUCCAGUGCAGGGGACACGGGUUCAGUCUCUGGCUGUGGAACUAAGAUCCCACAUGCUGAGGGACAACUAAGUCAGUGUGCCACAACUACUGAGCUUGUGCACCUCAACUAGAGGCACCUACCAGGCACUGGUGGGGGACCACAGACAGUUAAGGGGGUGGGAGGAAGCCCCAGCAAUUGGGUAGGAUGUGGGGGAGGGGGAGAAGUGAAGACAGGAGGUGACCAGUGCCCCUGAGGGACAGCUGGGGUAGAGGAAGGGAUCCCAAACCUGGAGGGGGAAGUGGGAGGGCAGAGGAUCAGAAGAGAGCAUGGCCAGUGUUUCCCCUGCCCACCUGGGCCCCAGGGAGCCUGCUGAGAUUGAGGGCCUGAUCCUCUGCCCACCCAGGCCCCCUCCAGCCAUGUGGGUCCUGACAGAGUGGGAGGGAGGGAAGGGGAAGCAAAAGUAAAGGCUGGACCUAUGGGACUGGCACCCCUGAGCAGUGGCUGGAGGAGGGGAGGAGUUACCACAUCCAGUGGGGCUCACCCACGGUUUAGCAGUACCAGGGGAACCCUCAGGAGAGUGCAGGAGUGGAAGGGAGCGUGGCCAGCACAUUCCCCACCCACUUGGGCACCAGGGAGCCUGUUGGGCUCCCAGGCCUGAUCCUCUGCCCUCCAAGUGGCAUCACAGAGCCUUAGGCCCACCCCAGCACCCCCACCGGGCCCUACCUCUAUACUGGCACUCGGAGACCCUCUCUAAGACUCCCUCCAACCAUGCUAGGCCUAAACCCUGCCAACUCUGGAACCCUCCAAACUCUGGAACUCCACACUCCGAGGCUCCCCUCAGGCCAUGCUGCCUUUCGCCUGCCAGGUAGGUCCUAAGCCUAGGCCCCAAACCACAGUUGAAUAUCGCUCCACCUAGGCCCUGCCCCAAGGCCUUGUCCAGCUUUUUUUCUUCUUUUAGGUUGCGGUUCUGUUUUACCUUGCUGUUGAUUUGUUUGUAUUUUUAUUUUUGCUAAUCUUUUAUUUUUCUAAUUUUAUUUUAUUCUUUAUACUUUGUUAUUGUUCUGCUCCUUUUGGCUUGUUCCCUUUUUUUUUCUCUCUCUCUUGUGAUUCUGUUUAUACCUUUUAGUUGUUUCAAUUAUAUUUUUAUUUUUCCUAAUACACUUUUUAUCUUUCUAAUUUUAUUUUAUUUUUUAUUCUUUGUUAUUGUACUGCUCUUUCUUUUGUUUUGCCACACCAUGCUGCUUGUGGGAUCUUGGCUCCCAGGCCAGGGUUCAGGCCUGAGCUCCUGUGGUAGGAGUGCCAAGUCCAAACUGCUAAACUAACAGAGAACCUCAGACCUCAGGGAAUAUUAAUCAGAGUGAGGCCUCCUGGAGGUCCUUAUCUCAUCACCAAGACCUGGCUCUACCCAACUGCCUGCAAACUCCAGUGCUAGACGCCUCAAGCCAAACAAUCAGUAAGACAGGAUAAAGCCCCACCCAUCAAAGAAAAAAUAAAAUGACAAUAUGUUAACAGACGAAUGAGCAAGGUAAAAACGAGAAAAUAAAUGAAGCAGAAAUAGGCAACCUAUCUGAAACAGAAUUCAGAGCAAUGAUAGUAAAGGUGAUCCAGAAUCUUGGAAAUAGAAUGGAGGCAUGGAUCAAGAAAAUACAAGAAAUGUUUAACAAAGAUCUAGAAGAACUAAAGAACAGAGAUGAACAACACAAUAACUGAAAUGAAGGAUACACUUCAAGGAGUCAGUAGCAGAACAACUGAGGUAGAAGAAUGGAUAAGUGAGCUGGAAGAUUAAAUGGUGGAAAUAACUGCCACAGAGCAGAAUAAAGAAAAAAGAAUGAAAAUAAUUGAAGACAAUCUCAGAGACCCCUGGGACAACAUUAAACACACCAACAUUUGAAUUACAGGGAUCCCAGAAGAAGAAGAGAAAAAGGGUCUGAGAAAAUAUUUGAAGGAUAUGAAAACUUCCCUAACAUGGGAAAGGAAAUAGCCACCCAAAUCCAGGAAGUGCAGAGAGUCCCAUACAGGAUAAACCUUAGGAGAAACACACCAAGACACAUAUUAAUCAAGCUAACAAAAAUUAAAUUCAAAGAAAAAAUAUUAAAAGCAGCAAGACAAAAGCAACAAAUAACAUACAAGGGAAUCCCCAUAAGGUUAUCAACUGAUUUCUCAGCAGAAACUCUACAGGCCAGAAGGGGGUGGCAGGAUAUAUUUAAAGUGAUGAAAGGGAAAAACCGACAACCAAGAUUACCCAGCAAUGAUCUCAUUCAGAUUUAAUGGGGAAAUGAAAAGCUUUACAGACAAGCAAAAGCUAGGAGAAUUCAGCACCACCAAACCAGCUUUACAACAAAUGCUAAAGGAACUUAUCUAAGCGGGAAACACAAGAGAAGGAAAAGACCCACAAAACAAACCCAAAUCAAUUGAGAAAAUGGUAAUAGGAACAUACAUAUUGAUAAUCACCUUGAAUGUAAAUGGAUUAAAUGCUCCAACCAAAAGACACAGACUGGCUGAAUGGAUACAAAAACAAGACCCUUAUAUAUGCUGUCUACAAAAGACCCAGUUCAGACCUAGGGACACAUACAGACUGAAAGUGAGGGGAUGGAAAAAGGUAUUACAUGCAAAUGGAAAUCACAAGAAAUCUGUACAAGUAGCAAUAUUCAUAUCAGAUAAAAUAGACUUUAAAGACUGUUACAAGAGCUAAGGAAAGACACUACAUAAUGAUCAAGGGAUCAAUUCAAGAAGAAAACAUAACAAUUAUAAAUAUUUAUGCACCUAACAUAAGAGCACCUCAAUACACACGGCAAAUGCUAAUAGCUGUAAAAUGGGAAAUCAACAGUAACACAAUAAUAGGGGACUUUAACGCACUUACACCAAUAGACAGCUCACCCAGACAGAAAAUAAGGAAACACAAGCUUUAAAUGACACAACAGACCAGACAGACUUAAUUGAUAUUUAUAGGACAUUCCACCUGAAAGUGGAAGAAUACACUUUCUUCUCAAGUGCACAUGGAAUGUUCUCCACAAUAGAUCACAUCUUUGGUCACAAAUCAAGCCUCGGAAAAGUUAAGAAAAUUGAAACUAUAUCAAGCAUCUUUUCCAACUACAAUGUUAUGAGAUUAGAAACCAAUUACAGGAAAAAAAAUCUGUAAAAAACACAAACACAUGGAAGCUAAACAGUGCACUGCUAAAUAACUGAGAGACCCCUGAAGAAAUCAAAGAAGAAAUUUUAAAAUACCUAGAAACAAAUGAUAAUGAAAACAAGACAAUCCAAAACCUAUGGGAUGCAGCAAAGCAGUUCCAAGAGGGAAGUUUAUAGCAAUUCGAGCCCACCUCAAGAAAAAAGAAAAUUCUCAAACAAUCUAACCUUACACCUAAAGCAACUAGAAGAAGAACAAAGAAAACCCCAAGUUAGUAGAAAGAAAUCAUAAAGAUCAGAGAAGAAAUAAACAGAAAUGAAGAAAACAAUAGCAAAGAUGAAUAAAACUAAAAGUUGGUUCUUUGAGAAGAUAAACAAAAUUGAUAAACCUUUAGCCAGACUCAUCAAGAAAAAAAGGGGAGAGGACACAAAUCAAUAAAAUUAGAAAUGAAAAAUGAGAGAUUACAACUAAAACUGCAGAAAUACAAAGGAUUAUAAGAGACUACUACAGGGGCUUCUCUGGUGGCACAGUGGUUAAGAAUCUGCCCACCAGUGCAGGGGACACAGGCUUGAUCCUUGGUCCGGGAAGAUCCCACAUGCCACAGAGCAGCUAAGCCCAUGCACCAUAACUACUGAGCCUGCGCUCUAGAGCCUGUGAGCCACAACUAUUGAGCCUGUAUGCCACAACUACUGACGCCCACGUGCCUAGAGCCUGUGCUACACAAUAGAAGCCACUGCACUGAGAAGCCUGCACACAGCAACUAAGAGUUCGAAGAGAUCAAAUUAUUGCUACACAUUUGAACCUCAAAAACAGGCUGAGCUAAUGAAUCCAGAAACAAAAGAAUACACACUGUAUGAUUCCAUUUAUACAGCACUCUAGGGAGGAAAAAGUCUCAACUACAGGGACAGAGAACAGGUCAGUGGUUACCAGGAGCCGGGUUGGGGAGGGAUUGACUGAGAACUGGAACAAGGGAAUAUUUGCGGGGGCUGGAAAUGUUCUAUAUCUUAAUUGCGCAGUAGGUACCUCUGUGUACACAUUUGUCAAAAACCAUCAAGGUGGGCGGGGUGGGGGAGAGAUGAAUUGGGAGAUUGGGGUUGACAUAUAUACACUAUUGAUACUAUGUAUAAAAUUGACAAUGAAAACCUACUGUAUAGCACAGGGAACUCUACUCAAUGCUCUGUGGUGAUCUAAGUGGGAAGGAAAUCCAAAAAAGGGGAUAUAUGUAUACCUAUAGCUGAUUCACUUUGCUGUACAGUAUAAACUAACACAACAUUGUAAAGCAACUAUACUCCAAUAAAAAUUUAAAAAAAAGAACUAUCAA